GUGUGUUCGAUCAGAAGAAGAGAAAGAAAAGGGGUCAAACCCUAGAACACCAAAAUCUAUCAAAUUGAAAGGGGAAUUGAAGCCUAGUUGAAUGCAUGAACUAAGAAUGAUGAUCAUCUAAGCAUACCCAACAUCAAGAUAGGAAACCCCAAAUUGGCAUGGACUCAAGUAUGGAAGGCUAACGGAUCAAGAGGAAAUGAGGAAGCUAUGCACAAACUUGGAUGCACGAGGUACCAUAUGGAUUUCUUCUUCUACUAACAAAGAUGAGCGGACGAGGAUCGAGUCAAGAGCAAGGAUUGUACGGGAAGGAUCGGUCACAUAGUUUAACAAAUGUAGGUCCAAAGUAUUAAUAUAAUGGAACGUGGUAAAUACUUUUUAAUGAGUGUAUGACAUUGGUAUUCGAACUUUCCUGUAAGUACUAUGUCUAUUAAAGAACGAA